GGUGAACUCCUCCGCAUGGGCUCACGCGUUCGCCUCCUUCCGGUCUAAAUGGUAAACUCCUCUGCAUUAAGGAAACACUGGUUCUGUAAACCUGUUUGAGAAGAAAAGCUCACGGAGGUUUCUUGGCUUCUCUGCUUCUGGAGCCAGGGGAAAAAAUAGCCCCAGGCUGAAGACAGGAGGGACCAGAUUGCUGCUUGGUGAUGCGAUCUCACUUCAGAGGCAGCCAGGAGACCCUCCUGAGACGAAUCGGAGAGUCCAUGCUGCUUUUACACACAUCCUAGUUCUUUUAUAACUAGCCUUUUCCUAUUAACGGACAUCAUUCAAAAGCCAG
rnacentral:lncRNA from 1 species